UACGAAGGGGGCUAGCGUUGCUCGGAAUUACUGGGCGUAAAGCGCACGUAGGCGGCUUUCUAAGUCGGGGGUGAAAUCCUGGAGCUCAACUCCAGAACUGCCUUCGAUACUGGAGCUUGAGUCCGGGAGAGGUGAGUGGAACUGCGAGUGUAGAGGUGAAAUUCGUAGAUAUUGCAAGAACACCAGUGGCGAGGCGGCUCACUGGCCCGGUACUGACGCUGAGGUGCGAAAGCGUGGG
rnacentral:rRNA from 1 species